ensembl:lncRNA
GAGCAAGGAAUGCAGGUGGGUAGCCAGGCCUCUGCCCCAAAGCCCAGAAGAUGCUCUCCAUGUGGCGGAUCUCUGGGGAAGAUGCUGGCCAGGCCGUAUCCCAGUGUCACUGAAUCUGGUUCCCUCCCACAUUUCCUCUUCAGUCGGGGCACUUGGUCUCCCUGCGGGCCCUCUGCCCAGAACCCAGACAGCCCCUAGCUGCGUGGCCUCACCCCAGCCCUCUGUCUGGGUCUGAAAUCCCCACCCUUAUUUAUUCAUAUCACAGUAACUUGUCUAUCACGUUCAAUGAAUAUAUUUGUUGGCCAGUCAUCAGAUGUCCAAGGGGCACUGCCCAGCUGCCAGGCACAGUGCUCUGCCGAUGGAUGCAGAGAUGGUGAGGCCUGGCCCUGUCUCAAGGGUGCACAGUCUUAGUAAAUACACCAGCACGGCUCUCAGACACCCACAUACCUAUGCAGGGCUCCACAGGCACUCAGAACAGGGAGUGGCUGCUGGGGUGAGCGGUAUUGGGCAGAGCCUCAGAGAGGAGCUGCAGCUUGAGCAGGACUGUCCUUGGGCUUUGCUGACCUACAUUUGUCAUUUAAUCCUCACCACAGCCCUGUGAUGCUGGCAGCACAGGUAUCAUCAUACCCAUUUUAUGGAUGACAAAACCAAGGUUCAAAGAGGUGAGGGGACUUGCCCAAGGCCUGUGUGAUUAAGAGUGGCAGGGGCUCAUCUCAAGUCCCAGUUUUCCAGUCUCCAUGCAGCCGUCUCCUGUGCCCCACCUCAAGUUCUCCACAUAAACACUACUUGGGUGCUUGGUAUGGACCGGCUGCUGUCCACAAGCUGGCAACUUAGAAGUGGCAAGGUUCACAGAAAACCAGACAGAACAAAAUGGGCAAAGAGGACCGUCCUCACAGAGGCCUCUCUUCGGCAGGAAGGCAGACGGUCAGAUACGCCAAGCCCACAGUUGCUAUCCCUGGCUGGGUGAUGAUCAAGAGACCAGGCAGUAACCAGGCGAUGUAGGUAAGGGUCCCAGGAGAGAUGCGCCUGGUGAGCUCGCAGAGGCAGCCCCUAACCCAUCUAGACUGGAGUUGGGGGCAGGGACAAGUUGCCCAAGAGAUCCAGCCCCUGCUGGGUCAAAGCCUGUGAGCGGGAGAUGGCUGGGUGAAGGAGGCAGAGGUCAAAUAGAGGGAAGCACAGAGGAGGAGCUGGAGGGGACAGUUGAGACCCUGGGCAGAGGGCCUUACACACGGGCCACAGAGUCUGGACUUUGUCCCCGCAGGCAGUGGGGAGCCAUGGAAAGCUUCCAGCCGGGAAACAGCCCGGCCAGAUUCCGGUGCCAUAGCUAGUGACACGUCUGUACCAAAGCAUAGGCCCUGAGGGUCUCUCAGCCCCUCCUAGGGCUGGGGGCCUUGCACGUGGUUUGUCCCUGGGUACUGCCUCUUCUUUCUGCAGCAGCAGUCCUCGGACGUGUCUGCGAAGGGGAGAGGUGCACCCCCGCCCCAGUCUCCAGAGAGAAGCCUGUGUCCACUCUAGAAAUGAAGCAAACAACAGCCACUGUUAAGGCAGGCAGCCCUAUGUGCCCAGAAGAUGCCCAUUUUCCACUCACCAGGCUGCCCAGACAGCUCAGAGGGUGAGAGGUCUUCUACAACAUAGCUCCCUGUGCCCCCCCAGCUCCCCCUACUAGAGGGUCGGUGCCUCUCUGCACAGAUGGUAACUGGAUGGCUGCAUCGUGCCGGGUGGAAACGCAUUUACAGUAUGGGACGCUGGUGCUCUGACACAAGCAGGGGUCUAGGGUAGAGAGCCCGAGGGCAGCCGGAAGGGGACCCCGGGGCGGCUGAGGGGAGGGGAGCAGCGUGAGGACUCCCCAGAGAGGAGGUGGCAGGUGGAGCUGAAGAGAAAAGCUUGGCGGCUUCCCAAUUCAGCUGGGCCACAGCUUUGUCAAUGGCCAGCUCUCUACCCGCCGGGCCCCUGGCCUGGCCCCGGGCCUGCGGUUUUCCUCAGUAGAACAGCGGGCGGCAGCUUCCGAGAAACCCCACCAAGACUUUCCUGUCAGGGCAACUCCAAGUUCCUCUUCAGGAAGGGGAAGUGGGGGAGUUUCUCCUAAGGGCUUUCAGUUUCUUUCUAAGAAGCCGGAGUGUCCCAACCCCGCAGUGCAGAGCCAGGUGUUAAGGGAAGAGACGUCCCACGGCAGGGGCUUUCCUAUCUCGGGUUCACAGGUGGACAUUCCAAAAGAGGAAAACUGGACCCGAGUUUUGCAGGCCCUUUCCCAUGCCCCUCUCCUUUCUUCCCCCUCCGGUCACACGUCCCCUGCGCCCCUCCCUGCCCCCACCAACACGUGCAGUGCAUGCACAGAAUGUGGCCUGCCCUCCCUCGGGGACCUGCCAGGUGGAAAUUUAUUUCCUCAGCCCUCCCAGCCGACGUCCUGGGAGCUCAGCUUCCUCGGGGCUCUGCUGGGCGACUCAACAUCUGACCCAGAUCAAGACCCAACAGGUGACUCCAGCUUCUUGCCGAUGCUGGGCCACGGAAGACCUCCAAACUUCUUUGAGGACACACUGUGGGAGCCCCAAGAACUGAGAGCCUGCCUUUUUUUUAAGAAGGCUUGGCUUGGUGGCAAAGCAGAAGUCCUGAUGUGAUUAUAAACAAGAGCCACCAUGGAGGCUAAGCACUUACCGUGUGCUAGCAUUUUACAUGAAUAUCCUCCUGUAACCCACCCCCCCAACCGAGGGGGCAAUCCCAUGACAAAGACACCAUUGUUACUCCUGAAGUCAAGCAACCUGCCCAUUCACCCAGCCCGCAAGCCUGUUCUUCCCAGUAGACUGCUUCUCAGAAAGGCGGGGAAGAAAGACUAUCAGGCCCUCAAAGGAGCUGGCUGGGAAGGUGUGAUCUCCAAUAUCGCCGAUCCUCAAAGCAAGCUCUGAGUGGUGAAGAGCCAGCGAUCUAGUUACCGCCGGCUUUGCAGCACGGCCACGGCUGGGGGUCUCCCCAGGACAUCCACACUCCUGUCGCCUCUUCUGUUCUCCUCUUACAGGCAUCGUGUUAGGGUUUCUGCUUUGCCAACACAUGCGUUAUGGGGACAGUGUGGGGAUUUCCCCAAACCAUGACGCUGUUCUGCUCAAAAACAUUUGCCUAGAAGUCCACAACUGUGUGACUCACGCUGUUGAGGUGUCAAGAAAACUCACAGCUGCAGGGUGGAGGGGCCGGACCCACACGGAAGGGGGCACUCGGAGGGUGAGCAGUUCGGUACAUAAAAAUACAGGACACCCAGUUACAUUUGAGUUUCAGAUCAACUACAACAUUUGGGAUACCCUGAUACUAAAAAAAAAAAAAAAAGUACUUAUCUGAAGUGAAAGUGUGUGUUAGUUGCUCAGUUGAGUCUGACUGUUUGCGACCCCAUGGAUUGUAACCCAAAUCAGGGACUGAACCAGUGUCUCUUACAUCUCCUGCAUUGGCACACGGGUUUUUUUGUUUGUUUGUUUAUUUUUUUUUUUAACACUGGCACCACCUUGGAAACCCCAAGGACCUCCUAGCCCUUGGUUUCUGGCCUCGUUGAAAAUCUGCUAGAAGCAAGAAGAGGUGGGAAGUAGCCAAAGAGCAGGUUUAGGGACAAGCAAGACAGCUCUGCUGGGAAAAGUGCUGUCCCUCCUAUGCUCCAGCACCCAAGGAGAUUGGGGCCUGGGUGCCUGGAGGGAUCCUCUGGGGUCAGCCCACCCAGCUUUUCAAACACUCAUGGCAACACCUGAGCCACAGCUGGGAUCAUUGCUAGCUCCCAAAUUAGAAAAGUAUGUUGUAAGGAUGAAAUGGCUAAAUGGUCUACAAAAUGUUAACUACGCAAUUGUAACUCAGCUCCUGCAC